GCCGCGCAUGCGCUCACCUAUUGGGAGACAAGCGGAAAACACACCCGCUCAAAAAGCACGCAACCGUUUCACAGUCAAAUCUCACGACUUGCAAUUUAUUCUCCAAGUUGCAACCCCCCUUUUCAUCGUCAUGUCCUCAACAAGAGGCUUACCUGGCGUAAAAGUCAGUGCAGGGACCAGUCCGUGCUGGUGUGUGUGAGCGCAGUGACGCAUUUCAGGAGGAUGAGGAUGAUGAUGAGGGUGAUGGUGGUGAUUAUGAUAGAGCUCACACCAUCUAGCCAGGAAAUCUCUCUUGUCCUAAUUGCCGCAAUCUGCUCAAUGUGCACCCUUCGCACGGCGUCGGGAGGCUCUGUCAGCGCGCAUCGAGAGCUGUCCAACAAUGAGCUGAGCUGGAGCGAGAUGAGGAGGAAGAAGAAGAAAAAAACCCCUCCUCCUUUCCCUACUUCCUCCUCUUCUGCUGCUCCACUCAGCAUGUGAAUGAGGAGCUGCAGCUGCAUAAAAGCUCCACUGGCAACUGAGCCCCCGCCCCCCCUUAAAAAAUAAGAUUAAUCUCUGCUUACAAGCGUCCAAAAGUGAUGCUUCUUACAAUACGGUAGGUACACCCUGGAGUCAAAUGAUAAGUGAAGUGAGCGUGAGGUAAAUUAGCUUCUCAUAAAGGACCACAAUCAGCGUGGUAGCCAGUUGGCUUUCCCCAAGGGUGCGGUCAGCUUGAAGCACAUGAGUGGAAAAUAAUUUGUUUUGGGGAUGCUGGUUGACCCCCGAGGAAAUUACGUCAGAAGAAUGAAUCUGUAAUCUGUCACCCACUGUCAAAAAACCUUUAACAGUGGAACCGUGCUAUUCACAGGGGACAAUGACCGAGCAUUAAAUUAAUCACAUUUUGAGGGGGAAAAAGGCAUUGAAGGAUUGGGAGAUU